rfam:Clostridium lentocellum DSM 5427, complete genome.
UCCUCGAUAGCUCAGCGGCAGAGCAUCCGGCUGUUAACCGGAGGGUCGUAGGUUCGAACCCUACUCGGGGAG